UUAAAGUCAGUAACACAAUUGAUCAAAGGGCACGUAAUGUUAUUCCUGGUCCAGAGGGAUUUCUAAGACAGAAGCUGUCCGGCCGAGGUCUCGCA